GGAUAGUAAGCGAAUGGUUAGCGGCUUCCUUGGAAAGGAAGUGCCGGUUUACCGGUUGCGAGUUCGAAUCUCGUGCUAUCCGCC
rnacentral:tRNA from 1 species